rnacentral:rRNA from 1 species
CGGACGGGUGAGUAAUGUCUGGGAAACUGCCUGAUGGAGGGGGAUAACUACUGGAAACGGUAGCUAAUACCGCAUAACGUCGCAAGACCAAAGAGGGGGACCUUGGGCCUCUUGCCAUCGGAUGUGCCCAGAUGGGAUUAGCUAGUAGGUGGGGUAAAGGCUCACCUAGGCGACGAUCCCUAGCUGGUCUGAGAGGAUGACCAGCCACACUGGAACUGAGCACGGUCCAG